rnacentral:rRNA from 1 species
UAGGGAAUCUUCCGCAAUGGACGCAAGUCUGACGGAGCAACGCCGCGUGAGUGAAGAAGGAUUUCGGUUCGUAAAACUCUGUUGUUAGAGAAGAACAGCGCAUAGAGUAACUGUUAUGCGUGUGACGGUAUCUAACCAGAAAGCCACGGCUAACUACGUGCCAGCAGCCGCGGUAAUACGUAGGUGGCAAGCGUUGUCCGGAUUUAUUGGGCGUAAAGCGAGCGCAGGCGGUCAAUUAAGUCUGAUGUGAAAGCCCCCGGCUCAACCGGGGAGGGUCAUUGGAAACUGGUUGACGUGAGUGCAGAAGAGGAGAGGGGAAUUCCAUGUGGAGCGGUGAAAUGCGUAGAUAUAUGGAGGAACACCAGGGGCGAGGGCGACUCUCUGGUCUGUAACUGACGCUGAGGCUCGAAAGCGUGGGUAGCAAACAGG